rnacentral:rRNA from 1 species
AUACGUAGGGGGCAAGCGUUGUCCGGAUUUACUGGGUGUAAAGGGCGCGCAGGCGGGUUGACAAGUCAGAGGUGAAAUCCUGCAGCUUAACUGCAGAACUGCCUUUGAAACUGUUAAUCUUGAGUACGGAAGAGAGAGACGGAAUUCCAGGUGUAGUGGUGAAAUACGUAGAUAUCUGGAAGAACACCAGUUGCGAAGGCGGUCUCUUGGUCCGUUACUGACGCUGAGACGCGAAAGCGUGGGUAGC